CUGUCUGCUCUGCAAGACAAUGAGUCAAGAAGAUACAGGCAAAGCAAAGAGAAGGAGGGCUCUGGUCUUGUUUCUCGUCCCUAAAAGGACACAUAAAAAUGAACUCUGAAUGGCUCAAGAGGAUUAGGGAAAAUAGGACAAUUGAGAGAAUCCAAAUGUUGAGAGAAUACGUGUCCAGAGCUUCUGGGGAACAUGAUUUCAGCUUCAAGAAAGGAAAUGAGGCCUCCUAGCAGAAAGCAAAGACAUGAGAAGAGAAGGGAUAAUGAACUGCUGUUGAGUCCCUGGUUCCAGGUGACCUUGCCUGCCUGUGAUGUGGUUCUUGUAUGCAGUGUUUCCUGAGAUCACCUCCCAAACAAUUGCAUCUGGAAUCCUUCACUCAUGUCUACUUCUGGGAGAAGCAUCUAAGACAGUCAUGGUCCAUAAAACAGCAGCAACAUGAACAAAGACACAGGGCUCAACUGUACCAGGCAAAUGAAGGGAGAUGGAGAGAUUGAAGCAAGAGCUAAAACUAUCCACCAGACUGCAGUCCAUUGUGAGUAGGUUGAGAGGAAAUUGAGCUGCCAAGACAUAUGAAACUCCUGGUGGAGAUUUGGAGGAAGAUGAAUGGUAC
rnacentral:lncRNA from 10 species